GUGACAAUAAUGCAGGAAGUCUAAUACAUGAUCUGAAGAGCCAUAAGCAGCCACCUCCAUAAGAGAAACAUCAUCUAUCAUGACGGUGACAUGGUUCUUGUAGAUUUCAGGUAGGGCACAUAUAAUUUUUUGCAUUUUUCCAUACAAUGCAGCAAAUCCACCUUCACUAGUUUUUCCUUCAUUUCCAUCUGGACACUGUAGCAUAAGCAUGUCCAAGAAAAAGAAUCUGC
rnacentral:misc_RNA from 1 species